rnacentral:rRNA from 1 species
UACGAAGGGGGCUAGCGUUGCUCGGAAUCACUGGGCGUAAAGGGUGCGUAGGCGGGUCUUUAAGUCAGGGGUGAAAUCCUGGAGCUCAACUCCAGAACUGCCUUUGAUACUGAGGAUCUUGAGUUCGGGAGAGGUGAGUGGAACUGCGAGUGUAGAGGUGAAAUGCGCAGAUAUCAGGAGGAACACCGGUGGCGAAGGCGGCCCACUGGUCCGGUACUGACGCUGAGGUGCGAAAGCGUGGGGAGCAAACAGG